AGUUUUGUCCGCAGAUAAUAUGG
rnacentral:snRNA from 1 species